AUUGAACGCUGGCGGCAUGCUUUACACAUGCAAGUCGAACGGUAACAGGGUGCUUGCACCGCUGACGAGUGGCGAACGGGUGAGUAAUGCGUCGGAACGUGCCGAGUAGUGGGGGAUAACGCAGCGAAAGUUGUGCUAAUACCGCAUACGUACUGAGGUAGAAAGUGGGGGACCUUCGGGCCUCACGCUAUUCGAGCGGCCGACGUCUGAUUAGCUAGUAGGUUAGGUAAAGGCUCACCUAGGCGACGAUCAGUGGCGGGUCUGAGAGGAUGAUCCGCCACACGGGGACUGAGACACGGCCCAGACUCCUACGGGAGGCAGCAGUGGGGAAUUUUGGACCAGGGGCGAAAGCCUGAUCCAGCCAUGCCGCGUGUCUGAAGAAGGCCUUCGGGUUGUAAAGGACUUUUGUCGGGGAGGAAAUCCCCAGCGUUAAUACCGCUGGGGGAUGACAGUACCUGAAGAAUAAGCACCGGCUAACUACGUGCCAGCCGCCGCCGUAACAC
rnacentral:rRNA from 1 species